rnacentral:rRNA from 1 species
UUCGUAGGGGGCUAGCGUUGUCCGGAAUCAUUGGGCGUAAAGCGCGCGUAGGUGGCCCAGUAAGUCCGUUCUGAAAGUCACAGGCUCAACCUGUGAAAGCGGAUGGAUACUGCUGGGCUAGAGUCCGGAAGAGGCGAGUGGAAUUCCUGGUGUAGCGGUGGAAUGCGCAGAUAUCAGGAGGAACACCAACGGCGAAGGCAGCUCGCUGGGACGGUACUGACACUAAGGCGCGAAAGCGUGGGGAGCGAACAGG